AAUACAACAGAGUAAACUUAACUGAGAAAAGUAUUUUCCAUUCACUGCACCACAACGUACACACACUUAUGAGUCCAAAUCAAGACAUCUCAUAAAAUAACCAAGCCUUCCUGCAAGGAGACUGCGACGGUUUCACAGCCUCACCCCACGUGCUUUACGCAAUGGACUUACGGACACAAACAUGCAUAACUCAAAAGAUGCUUUGCACAAAAUACUUCAUGCAACCCAUCAAUCUUAAUGUCCCAGUCUGCUGGAUCUGUAUGUCAUAUUUUGGUGCAUGUAUCACUCUUCUAUGUAAGGUUAGAGAUAUGGGGGAUGGGAUGGUUUAUGGUUUUAAAUGUGCAAAUGAAAGCCAUCAAGGUUGCUUCCAGUGCUGGACACCUCAAUGUCUGGGUGAUCACCUGUAAACUGCUUCUUUUGCCCUUUGAGUCUAAGCAGUAGUUGGUCUUAGGAAGUCACGUGACCACCCCAACUGGUAGGGGCUGACCAGGAAAUUUUCCAUGGAAGGUGGGAGGAGAACAAAAGUUUCCACCCAAAGUGAAAUCUAUAAAACAAUGGGAAGCAAGCUGUCCCUUUGUCUCUGGCUGGCAUGUCACUCCCAGGAGAAUGAACCAGAGACCCCAGAGCAAAAAAGAUCGCUCCUGGUUUGGAGAUGUAGCUGAAAUAAGAAUUGUUUUCGGUUCCUCUCCCUCCAGCAGUUGUAUUCACCAAAACGGAAGGAACUAGCAGGGGUACACAGAUGCAGUGUCUCUUCCUGAACUCCGGUUGCUCCAUUCAGAUUAAGAGCUACUAAUCGUAAAGACUCAAUGGGAUCCAUCUUUUCAGCAUCCUAGAGCUAACAGUGGACUUCAGGAGGCUACCCAGACACACAAGUCGUGUCCUGCACAGCAAGCACUUUACUGCAUUAUUCAACCCAUGUGGAAUGUAUGUGACAUCUCAGAUGUCACCUGAAACUAACAAGCUCUAAGCCAAUCUUAUCAGUUAUCAUUAAGGAAAGGAAUCUGAUACCAGACUACGAGUGAAAAAGGCUGCCGUGACUUCUGACCUUUUCCCUCUCUAAACGGGUUGUGCGGAUGAAUGGCCCGGGACAAAGGUGGGUGAAAAUGCAAUAAGGAACGACAUAGUAACGGAGACGCAGCAAAGCAGGGAGGAGUGCUUUAAGUCAAAAUGAUUUAAAUCACAUCUUUCAAUCACAAUUUGAAUCACCAAACAGGAAACCUCAAUUUAAACAAUUGAUUCUCAUCUUGUGUUGCAAUUGUUCUUUUUUUGUUAUUUUCCUAAAGAAAGAUUGAAUCUCAUUGGUUAGUAACCCUUAAAAAUGUUCAUUUGCAAUUGAAUAUAGCCCUUUACAUAAAAGUUGGUACUUUUUCCUAAGCAUAGGAACACAAUAUAGCUAUACAUAUUUAAGCAAUUAACAUGCAUUUAUUCAAAUUAUCAAUGUUUGCGUACUUCAUUAUAUCAGAAAAUGGUGUAUAAUGCACUUAUUAGAUGAUGAUCAUUACUGUGAUUUAUGUCAAGCUCUAUUUGGAUAGAAAUUGGAACUCAAUUAAAAAUGUAUAGAAACAACAUUGUAAAACUGCUGUAUUCAUGAAAUAGAAGUUUUUAAAUGUGCUACACAUAUAAAUUUAUUGAAUCGUUUGCAUUUAAAAUGAACCGGUUUAUUAAAUAUAGGAAGUAUUACCUGUAGUUAGUGAAUUGAGUUGUUUAUUUCUGGCGCUAUGUCCCUCAAGACUGUAGAACUCAUCCUCUUGUAUUUAAUUGUUACUCGUAGAUGGGAAGAGGAAAACAAGCUUGCCUUUCAACUCUUGGUGGUUUCUUAAAUUGGACUGAACUAGUCAUUCAGAUGAACUAGCUGAACAAACCGAAAUGAAAAAUAUUCUCUCUGCAUCCACAAAAGAGUCUAGUGGUGCCAAAAUGAAUAAAAUGAUUCAACACACUUUGGUUCCUGGUGCUUAACUAGUGAUUUCCACCAGGUCAGAAUGUUUCUGUUUUUAGAAAUUUCUGCAGCAAACAUGUGCAGCUUAAUUUUUAUCUUGCCAUCCAUUUCCCAUUUAUCCAUUCCCAGCAGAGGCACUGAGCUUGCAGGUCGUUAAGUAGGUCCCGGCCUGGUGGCGCUGUAUGGACCAUUCUCCUACCUCUCCAUACAUGGACUGGAAGCACUGCACAUUUUGGAGGCUGGAAUAAUCAAGUCCUCAGUGCUUCGAGCCAGCUGCAGACCUGCUACACAAGGACGAGGCAGACAAAGGGGAUCGCCGGGCAGAAGCAAGCAAAGAGGAGCAUUCAGAAGCCUGGAGGAACAAGGAAGCUGCAGUGAAAAAAUAUUAACUACAAUAGGAAGACAGAAAGAAAAAAAAAGAGAUGGUCUUAGCUGGUUUGAUUCUGCCUGGCAUUCUCCAACACCAGUUCUAAGAUUCAGCCUGAGUUCCUGAUGGUAGCGACUCCACGGACAGACACAGCCAGGACUAACUGUGCUGACCCUGGGAGCUGGUAAAAAAGAAGAAAAAAUACAGAGGCUGCCUGUGACAGGGACUAUUAUCCUGAAAUACUCUGCCUGGCCCAGAGUCAUUCAAAACGCGCAGCGCUAAUGGAACAGCAUCUCACAAAAAUACUGUGGUGUCCUGCUGAUGAGAGAUCCAUUUACAGACGCUUGAGUAGGCGGCAUACAUGCUUCAGGGUGUGAAUACUGACGGCUUUGUCAAACUACACUCCCUGUUGUCAAAACAGGCACAAAUAGCACCACAACUACGCCAUGUCCAGGAGCAGCGAGCUACACAACACCUUGGAUGUUUAAUUUAGCCACUGCAAAACAGUUCUUCACACUCUCAACCAGCAAACACCACGUCUUGAGGCCCCACAUCUUACACACCCAGCAGGCCCACAGAAUCAUAGAAACUACAAGGCCUAUCGGAUAAUCGAUUCCACCAGCACUACGGCCCAGGUCCAUGAAGGAUUGCUCCCUGCAGUCAAUUUUCUAGCAGAAAGUGUUAUUUAUUUUUAUAAAAUAUGACAGUCCCAA